CGCUUCGUUUCUCAUUCUUCCUCUUCUCGUUUUUUUUCCUUUCACAUUGAUAUCUUGUGGGAGGAUGAUGAGGAAGAAUAAGAAUAGUUGCUAGAAUGUUUUAUUUUAUAUAUAUUUUUAAUUUGUUUUUCCUAUUAGUAAUUUAAUUUGUUGUAGUAUGUGGUUUUUUUUUACCAGAUUUGUGUUUGAGAUCAGAGAUCUCCAAUCGCUUUCCCUUCUCUAACUCUCAUGAGGAUAGUGACACUUCCUCUCGCCCCCCUGCUUUUCCUGCUACCAUCUCUAAUUCCUCUCCGUGUUUUUUGCAACUUCAUUUUUAUUUUUUAUUUUUCUUGAUUUUUUUUACUUAUUUAUAUAUUUUAAUUGUAUAUUUUUUGUAUGGAUGGAUUUAUUAUUAUUUUAUUAUUUUGGAGUAGCAAUAAACAAAAAUCAAUCUUCAUAUAUAUUGCACUUAUUUUAUUUAAUUUUGCCCUUUUUUAUUUGGGUGCUUUACUUCCCAUGUUACAGUACUACAGCUAAUCGUGGUUGCAGCAUUUAUCAGAUUAGGUUAUGUGAAGAGGCAAAAAAAUGUGAUCUGUUGAGCAGGUGCUGGACAAGCAAGGGAGAGCUAAUUAUGAGUAGUACAACUCUACUUAUUUAAAAGGAAUGCGAGUUGCAUGAUGAAUUAUCUUUGUGGUUUGAACUUAGUAGUCAAUUGGGUAUUUUUGUUAUGAUAUUUUAGCCUUAAUUACUACAUCUAAAUCUUUUUUCUUGUCUUAAUGAUAUUGUUCUAGGGUUAGGGUUCAUGCAAGUAUUAAUCGUAGUUGCUUUGGAACUUGAUUAAUCUUUAAAGUCUUGGACUGCGGGAAUUAGACCUAGCUAGGGUAUCACUUCCCUCUAAUAAUUAAUAAUAUUUUCAAAUCAUUAUCUUCUGGAAUUUGAUCUGGUAUAUUAAUGCAAGAGAGAUUAAGACCGUACAAUAUAUUGUCGUACUUAAAAAUGAAGCUAGAUCUUCUAUAUAUAUGUUUUUUUUUCUUUUUUUUUUGGGUAGUGGAGCUUAGGCGAAAUGCAAUUGUUUGCUUGAUAGUACUGUUGAAACCAACCUUUUCUUCUUCCUGACCUAUUUUCCCAACUCUCUAAAGAAUAUAUGGCAUGUUGGGAACCUGAAACUAGAAUACUACAAUUAAUUCUUGUUUGCUUUUAUGUGUCUAUAUGUCUUGUAAUAAAAAUUUGGUGGUGAGAUGUAGAAAUAGAGAUUGUUUAAGUGAGCUUCCUUCAGUCCACUCAUGGAUGGGUAAGAGGGUUUGAAUUAUCUGCCGACUCAUUCAUUCAAACACAGUAGAGAAAGGGUCUAAUAUUUACUACUGUGGAUGUGUGAAUGAUGCGGGAGAUAAAAUUUCAUCCUUUUCUUCUCUUUGCUUGGACUGAAGGGAGCUCCCUUUUACUAUUUUCAUUAUUAUUAUUAUUAUAAUUUUCUCACACAAUUAAUAAUUAAAGUUGUUAAUUAGACGUGCUAUAACUAUUCAUUGUUAUAGCUAAUAAACAAUUUAAUUCUAGCUAGUCAAAUCCAUUAAUUAUUUGUACCCGAGUAAAGAAAAUAACAUAUAAAUUAUGUGUAUACCUAAUUAUAUGAAUUUAUAUGAUAUCACAUGUCAAUUGUUCAUUAUUAAUAAUGUUCUAUUGUUCUUUCUCUGGUAAAUUGGUAUGUGUUUUUGAUAAUUAUGCACGUUUGAUUAUGAAUUUCUAAUGGUAGUGCAGUGUUUAAUUAGAUGAUGUGUACUUUGUUUUAUCGUUAGUUCUGAUUAGUGAUCGUGUGCAGGCAUAUACUUACUUUAUUAGUCAUAUUUAUUAUUUUCUUUACUAAUUCAUUUUUAUGCACCAUACAAGCCUUAAUCUUUCUACUUCCUCAGUAAGUACGUACGUACUAGGUUUCAAAUGUUGACCUUUUGCUCUUUUUUUUUUGUUGUUGAGAAAAAGACCUUUUACUCUAAUUUGACUAGUACGAUUUCAUUUCCCUUGCCUGCCGUUUUAUUUGGUAGCUAUAGUUGAUAUAAUGUGUCAAUAAUUGCGAAAAAAAUGUCACUACAUCUGGCUCUUUUUUCUCGUUUUACUGUUAAACUGAAUUUGAAGCAAAAAAAUUGAACACGUAUUUUUUUCACUCCUUCA